GACGGAGGAUGCAAGUGUUAUCCGGAAUCACUGGGCGUAAAGCGUCUGUAGGUGGUUCGAAAAGUCCACUGUUAAAAAUUGAGGCUUAACUUCAAAGAUGCCGUGGAAACUUUCAAACUAGAGUAUGGUAGGGGUAGAGGGAAUUUCCAGUGGAGCGGUGAAAUGCGUAGAUAUUGGAAAGACCACCGAUGGCGAAGGCACUCUACUGGGCCACUACUGACACUGAGGGACGAAAGCUAGGGGAGCGAAUGGG
rnacentral:rRNA from 1 species